GAUGAACGCUGGCGGCGUGCUUAACACAUGCAAGUCGAACGGUGAAAGAGAGCUUGCUCUCUGGAUCAGUGGCGAACGGGUGAGUAACACGUGAGCAAUCUGCCCCUGACUCUGGGAUAAGCGCUGGAAACGGCGUCUAAUGCCGGAUACGAGCUGCGAAGGUAUCUUCAGUAGCUGGAAAGAACUUCGGUCAGGGAUGAGCUCGCGGCCUAUCAGCUAGUUGGUGAGGUAAUGGCUCACCAAGGCGUCGACGGGUAGCCGGCCUGAGAGGGUGACCGGCCACACUGGGACUGAGACACGGCCCAGACUCCUACGGGAGGCAGCAGUGGGGAAUAUUGCACAAUGGGCGCAAGCCUGAUGCAGCAACGCCGCGUGAGGGACGACGGCCUUCGGGUUGUAAACCUCUUUUAGCAGGGAAGAAGCGAAAGUGACGGUACCUGCAGAAAAAGCACCGGCUAACUACGUGCCAGCCGCCGCGGUAACAC
rnacentral:rRNA from 1 species